UUGUGGGGUGCUCGAGUGGCGAACGGGUGAGUAACACGUGAGUAACCUGCCCUUGACUUUGGGAUAACUUCAGGAAACUGGGGCUAAUACCGGAUAGGAGCUCCUGCUGCAUGGUGGGGGUUGGAAAGUUUCGGCGGUUGGGGAUAGACUCGCGGCUUAUCAGCUUGUUGGUGGGGUAGUGGCUUACCAAGGCUUUGACGGGUAGCCGGCCUGAGAGGGUGACCGGCCACAUUGGGACUGAGAUACGGCCCAG
rnacentral:rRNA from 1 species